AGAUUGAACGCUGGCGGCAUGCCUUACACAUGCAAGUCGAACGGUAGAGUAGCAAUACUCGAGAGUGGCGAACGGGUGAGUAAUAUAUCGGAACGUGCCCAGUCGUGGGGGGAUAACGUAGAGAAAUUUACGCUAAUACCGCAUACGAUCUAGGGAUGAAAGCGGGGGAUCGCAAGACCUCGUGCGAUUGGAGCGGCUGAUAUCAGAUUAGGUUGUUGGUGAGGUAAAGGCUCACCAAGGCGACGAUCUGUAGCUGGUUUGAGAGGACGACCAGCCACACUGGGACUGAGACACGGCCCAGACUCCUACGGGAGCAGCAGUGGGAAUUUUGGACAAUGGGGGAAACCCUGAUCCAGCCAUCCCGCGUGUGCGAUGAAGGCCUUCGGGUUGUAAGCACUUUUUGGCGAGGAAGAAACGGCGUGCCCUAAUACGGACGUCACUAGACGGUACUGCAGAAUAAGACGACCGCUAACGUACGUGCCAAGCACGCCG
rnacentral:rRNA from 1 species